UACGUAGGGGGCAAGCGUUGUCCGGAUUUACUGGGCGUAAAGAGCGCGCAGGCGGUCGUUCAAGUCGCGUGUGAAAGCCCCCCGGCUCAACUGGGGAGGGUCACGCGAUACUGAUCGACUCGAAGGCAGGAGAGGGAAGUGGAAUUCCCGGUGUAGUGGUGAAAUGCGUAGAUAUCGGGAGGAACACCAGUGGCGAAGGCGACUUCCUGGCCUGUUCUUGACGCUGAGGCGCGAAAAGCUAGGGGAGCAAAC
rnacentral:rRNA from 1 species